rnacentral:rRNA from 1 species
UACGGAGGAUGCAAGCGUUAAUCGGAAUUACUGGGCGUAAAGCGUGCGCAGGCGGCUUUGCAAGACAGAUGUGAAAUCCCCGGGCUCAACCUGGGAACUGCAUUUGUGACUGCAUCGCUCGAGUGUGGCAGAGGGGGAUGGAAUUCCGCGUGUAGCAGUGAAAUGCGUAGAUAUGCGGAGGAACACCGAUGGCGAAGGCAAUCCCCUGGGCCUGCACUGACGCUCAUGCACGAAAGCGUGGGGAGCAAACAGG